rnacentral:lncRNA from 1 species
CGUUAGCCCUGUUUAAUUGAGUCUAGAGGUGUAUACUAGUAUAUGAGCGGCUUCCCAUGAAACCUUUUAUAUUGCGGGUUACUGCAUGUCUAGUAGUGGUGCUUUCGUGGUAGCAUGUUCGCCUUGAGUGAGGGAGGUCGUUGGUUCGAACCCCGGCCGAGUCAAAACCAAAGACUUUAAAAUUCAUAUUUGCAUGCUGCUUCCCUGCUAAGCACGCGGGAUUAAG